rnacentral:lncRNA from 1 species
CUAUCACCUGAUUUUUUUUGGGUUCCACUAUUUGCACACAAACAGCACAGCUGGGAAAACACAGAGUCACCCAGCACAGGCUCUUCCCUGGAUCUUUCCCCUCCUCAGGGCAUCAGUUCAUCAGUCAACCAAGCCAUCUGAGAGCGGAAGAGCGAGUACUCUCUAACAUAGAAGUUCUUAUUCCUGCAUGCUUUUCUCAGAAGAGGGAAAAACAAGAAGAUCUCCUUUACAGAAAAGGGCUAAGAUGAGAAGAAACCACUCAAAGAAAAAGGCAAGACACCCUCCUGCCACUCCAGUGAGAAGCACAUGGAAAGGGAACUGUUCAGGAGAGGAGCACAGCUUGAUGUUGAAAAAGAAACUAAAGUCUUCCACUGCUGUGCACAGCAGUGAAAUCCAGGAGACCUGUGAUGCCCACCACAGAGGGCCUUUCAUGGUUCACACUAGCAGAGAAUACACUCUUGGAAUGAGAGCAAGAACCUGCUACUUCUCAGAUUCUUCCAAAGGACCAGCAGUGACAAUUCUAGAUGCACAGCAUUAAUACAUGAAAGACCCUGAAGCAGUCAUAGGAAAGGAGCUUGAACAACGUACUCAAAGCAGUGAGGGCUAAGAUUAUAAACAAAUUAUAUAUUUCUUGUUAGACAUUUGAUGUCUAUUGGAUGUCUCAUGACAGUCAUGCAUUUCUAUAUAAUCAGACAAAUACUAGGAUGUAAUCAUUCAUAUACCUUUUCAUAUUUUCAAUUAUAACAAAAUAAAUAUAAAAUUAUGUGCUUCUUUUUUAAUUCAGAAAAGUUUGUAACCUCUCACUCUCCCACACUGAACCCCUAGAACACUAAUAUCCACAAACAAUAAUACUCUUCAUGGGAAAAAUGUCAAUAUAGCUUUACAGUUUAAUAAAAUUAUGGUGAAAUCACCACACAAGGUGUUUACUAUGAAUAUUUUUAC